rnacentral:rRNA from 1 species
AUUGAACGCUGGCGGCAUGCCCUACACAUGCAAGUCGAACGGUAACAGGUCUUCGGAUGCUGACGAGUGGCGAACGGGUGAGUAAUACAUCGGAACGUGCCUAGUAGUGGGGGAUAACUACUCGAAAGAGUGGCUAAUACCGCAUGAGAUCUACGGAUGAAAGCAGGGGAUCGCAAGACCUUGUGCUACUAGAGCGGCCGAUGGCAGAUUAGGUAGUUGGUGGGAUAAAAGCUUACCAAGCCGACGAUCUGUAGCUGGUCUGAGAGGACGAUCAGCCACACUGGGACUGAGAAACGGCCCAGACUCCUACGGGAGGCAGCAGUGGGGAAUUUUGGACAAUGGGCGCAAGCCUGAUCCAGCAAUGCCGCGUGCAGGAUGAAGGCCUUCGGGUUGUAAACUGCUUUUGUACGGAACGAAAGGCCCUGGGUUAAUACCCUGGGGUCAUGACGGUACCGUAAGAAUAAGCACCGGCUAACUACGUGCCAGCCGCCGCGGUAACAC